UUGGUCAAGUUAUAGUUUUACUUUUAUAACUUUUUGCUGAGAAAGCUUAAAAAAUCCAGUCUAUAUAGUUGUUUAAUUGUCACUUCGAUUGGUAAUAUCAAUAAGCAUGCAAAUAAAGCAACGACCAACUUUUCUGAGUACGUGACAACUCUUCAUGAACCACAGCCUUUUAUCAAUGCAUGUGUUGUCUCUUGACCUUUUUGGCACAUACUUCUAGCACUUACACAGCAUUUUCAUCAUGUACAAUCACAUCAUUUUCCCACCACCAUCUUUAUAAGUAUCGUCCUACAACAUCGAACAUUACCUAUCCGCAUUCUCAUCAUCGACUGAGAGUAGAAAUAACUUUCACAAAACUUAAAAUAUCAAACAAAAUACAUACAGUUAUGUGAAUAUGGGAGAAGAAAAAUCGGUGAACAAUUAUGACAUUGUUUACAUCGGUGAUUCCUCUAAUUCAAACGACGACCACU
rnacentral:lncRNA from 1 species